rnacentral:rRNA from 1 species
AGAGAGCUUGCUCUCUGGGUGGCGAGUGGCGGACGGGUGAGGAAUACAUCGGAAUCUACCUUGUCGUGGGGGAUAACGUAGGGAAACUUACGCUAAUACCGCAUACGACCUUCGGGUGAAAGUGGGGGACCGCAAGGCCUCACGCGAUUAGAUGAGCCGAUGUCGGAUUAGCUAGUUGGCGGGGUAAUGGCCCACCAAGGCGACGAUCCGUAGCUGGUCUGAGAGGAUGAUCAGCCACACUGGAACUGAGACACGGUCCAGACUCCUACGGGAGGCAGCAGUGGGGAAUAUUGGACAAUGGGCGCAAGCCUGAUCCAGCCAUACCGCGUGGGUGAAGAAGGCCUUCGGGUUGUAAAGCCCUUUUGUUGGGAAAGAAAUCCUAUCGAUUAAUACUCGGUGGGGAUGACGGUACCCAAAGAAUAAGCACCGGCUAACUUCGUGCCAGCAGCCGCGGUAAUACGAAGGGUGCAAGCGUUACUCGGAAUUACUGGGCGUAAAGCGUGCGUAGGUGGUUGUUUAAGUCUGUUGUGAAAGCCCUGGGCUCAACCUGGGAAUUGCAGUGGAUACUGGGCGACUAGAGUGUGGUAGAGGAUAGUGGAAUUUCCGGUGUAGCAGUGAAAUGCGUAGAGAUCGGAAGGAACAUCUGUGGCGAAGGCGACUAUCUGGGCCAACACUGACACUGAGGCACGAAAGCGUGGGG